rnacentral:rRNA from 1 species
UACGGGGGGGGCAAGCGUUGUUCGGAAUUACUGGGCGUAAAGGGCUCGUAGGCGGCCAACUAAGUCAGACGUGAAAUCCCCAGGCUUAACCUGGGAACUGCAUCCGAUACUGGAUGGCUUGAAUCCGGGAGAGGGAUGCGGAAUUCCAGGUGUAGCGGUGAAAUGCGUAGAUAUCUGGAGGAACACCGGUGGCGAAGGCGGCAUCCUGGACCGGCAUUGACGCUGAGGAGCGAAAGCCAGGGGAGCAAACGGG